AGCACCACACUUUUAGUUGCAUAUGGGAUUUAUGUGUUUUGAUUAGUUCUCAUCAAAACUGUUGCAGGUACCAUAUCUUUUGAAGAAAGUUUUUCAAUCAUUUUUAGCAUAGGAAGAAGAAGUUCUGGAAAAGCUUUAAAAAUAAGUUGUAAUUCUUUCUGGCUUGUACAGUGUUUAAUGCAGCAGGAAAAAGCUGAAAACUUGAUCCUUUGUAACUAUGUAAAAGACAUUUACUUGGUUGGUUGAAGUUGUGGGGCUUGGUAAAUGUCUGAUUCAGAAAUCCUUUCUGCUAGUUCUGUAAGCCCAUAUGCAUCUGUCACUUCUCAUUACAUAUAAUAUAAUCCUUAUAAGUCUUUUUUUUGCUUUUCUGUGACUUUUUCUUUCUUUUGGCUUGAUCAAUAUUUAUUGCCCUCUGGCCUUGUUUGGCUUUAAGCUUUAGUAUUCAUAGGAUGAUGGGAUCAAUUCACCUCAGAAGAGAAUGAGAAUGCUCAGUAAAUGAGAUAAUAUGAAAGACUUGAAGUGCAGGUAUUAUGUGAUGUUCCGGCUUGAAGUGCAGUUUCUCAAUGAAUUUUGUUCCAGGGGUUGGCUGUUGUUGCAAUAUUGAGGCACUUUAGAUACCCUUGCAGGUAUUAUGUAGAGUAAGGGCUACAUAGGAGGAAAGAUCGCUGCAGAUAAAGGUUUGAAGCAUGUUAAAGUCUAGUGUGGUCAAAGUCGUAACUAGUAUCUUUUAUCUCCUAAGAUUCAAGUUUUGCCUUGUCCACAAUGUCUAAAUAGUUCAACUGUUGUCUUUAUGAACAAGAGAUAAGCUUAAUACUUUAUCUUAAUUGACAUGGAAGCAGAGCUCAGAGAAAUGGAUUUGCAGACAUGAUUUUUUACUUUAAAACAGAUAUUGAAAUGGU